AAUCCGUGUUGCGGGCACUUUCUCAGGAGCUCCUUGAAUCUUUCCAACGUCUCAAAUAGAAACUCUAAUUCAAAUUGUACAAAGGACGAGAUCUCAUUCCUAAUCUU